CGAAAGCCUGACGGAGCAAUACCGCGUGAGGGAGGAAGGCUCUUGGGUUGUAAACCUCUUUUCUCAGGGAAGAACAAAAUGACGGUACCUGAGGAAUAAGCAUCGGCUAACUCCGUGCCAGCAGCCGCGGUAAUACGGAGGAUGCAAGCGUUAUCCGGAAUCAUUGGGCGUAAAGCGUCCGUAGGUGGUAUUUCAAGUCUGCUGUUAAAGCCCGGGGCUCAACCCUGGAGGAGCAGUGGAAACUGGAGUACUGGAGUGCGGUAGGGGUAGAGGGAAUUCCCGGUGUAGCGGUGAAAUGCGUAGAUAUCGGGAAGAACACCAGUGGCGAAGGCGCUCUACUGGGCCACAACUGACGCUGAUGGACGAAAGC
rnacentral:rRNA from 1 species